rnacentral:rRNA from 1 species
CCUACGUGAGGCAGCAGUGAGGAAUAUUGGUCAAUGGGCUUACGCCUGAACCAGCCAAGUCGCGUGAGGGAAGACUGCCCUAUGGGUUGUAAACCUCUUUUGUCAGGGAGCAACGCCGGCUACGUGUAGCCGGACUGAGAGUACCUGAAGCAAAAGCCUCGGCUAACUCCGUGCCAGCAGCCGCGGUAAUACGGAGGAUGCGAGCGUUAUCCGGAUUUAUUGGGUUUAAAGGGUGCGUAGGCGGAAUGCCAAGUCAGCGGUAAAAUCGCGGGGCUCAACCUCGCUCCGCCGUUGAAACUGGCGUUCUUGAGUGGGCGAGAAGUAUGCGGAAUGCGUGGUGUAGCGGUGAAAUGCAUAGAUAUCACGCAGAACUCCGAUUGCGAAGGCAGCAUACCGGCGCCCAACUGACGCUGAAGCACGAAAGCGUGGGUAUCGAACAGGAUUAGAUACCCUGGUAGUC